AUUGAACGCUGGCGGCAUGCCUUACACAUGCAAGUCGAACGGUAACGCGGGGCAACCUGGCGACGAGUGGCGAACGGGUGAGUAAUGCAUCGGAACGUGCCCAGUAGUGGGGGAUAGCCCGGCGAAAGCCGGAUUAAUACCGCAUACGACCUAAGGGUGAAAGCGGGGGAUCGCCAGACCUCGCGCUAUUGGAGCGGCCGAUGUCAGAGUAGGUUGUUGGUGGGGUAACAGCCUACCAAGCCGACGAUCUGUAGCUGGUCUGAGAGGACGACCAGCCACACUGGGACUGAGACACGGCCCAGACUCCUACGGGAGGCAGCAGUGGGGAAUUUUGGACAAUGGGGGCAACCCUGAUCCAGCCAUGCCGCGUGCGGGAAGAAGGCCUUCGGGUUGUAAACCGCUUUUGUCAGGGAAGAAACGCUCUGGGCUAAUACCCCGGGGUAAUGACGGUACCUGAAGAAUAAGCACCGGCUAACUACGUGCCAGCCGCCGCCGUAAGAC
rnacentral:rRNA from 1 species